AGCGAACGCUGGCGGCAGGCCUAACACAUGCAAGUCGAACGAGACCUUCGGGUCUAGUGGCGCACGGGUGCGUAACGCGUGGGAAUCUGCCCUUGGGUUCGGAACAACAGUUGGAAACGACUGCUAAUACCGGAUGAUGACUUCGGUCCAAAGAUUUAUCGCCCAAGGAUGAGCCCGCGUAGGAUUAGCUUGUUGGUGAGGUAAAAGCUCACCAAGGCGACGAUCCUUAGCUGGUCUGAGAGGAUGAUCAGCCACACUGGGACUGAGACACGGCCCAGACUCCUACGGGAGGCAGCAGUGGGGAAUAUUGGACAAUGGGCGAAAGCCUGAUCCAGCAAUGCCGCGUGAGUGAUGAAGGCCUUAGGGUUGUAAAGCUCUUUUACCCGGGAUGAUAAUGACAGUACCGGGAGAAUAAGCCCCGGCUAACUCCGUGCCAGCAGCCGCGGUAAAAC
rnacentral:rRNA from 1 species